GGAUUGAAAUGGAUUCAAUCCUGGAUUUAAUGGAUUGAAAUGGAUUCAAUCCCGGAUUUAAUGGAUUCAAAUGGAUUCAACCAUAAAGCAGCCCCUAAUGUGGGGUUACCCAUAGGCUCCCAAUGGAGGAUGGGGGUCCUGGUUUGGUUACGGGGUCUGGCUGUUGGGAAAGUCGGUUCUGGUUUAUUAAGGGGGUUUAAUAACGGCCCCAUUGACCCUUAAAGGCCCCGCUCCCUUUUUCCUCCUCCCUCGGCUCUUGGUACCCAACCCGGAAGUGCCCGCUGUGCCAUAGAGGGCGGAAACGCUCCAGGAAGAACGAACUGCCCUCACUUCCGCCCUCACUUCCGCCCUCACUUCCGCCCUCACUUCCGCCCUCACUUCCGCCCCCACUUCCUCCCUCACUUCCGCCCCCACUUCCUCACUUCCGCCCUCACUUCCGCCCUCACUUCCGCCCUCCUUUCUGCUCUCACUUCCUCCUUCACUUCCGCCCUCACUUCCGCCCUCAAUUCCGCCCCAACUUCCGCCCUCACUUCCGCCCUCUCACCCAAUCACAUCAGCAGACUCCCACCCUUCCUCCCUCCGUCUCGCCUCCUCCCAUUGGCUCCCAGUUCAGGGGCGGCGCCGCUGAUUGGGCGGUCGCGUAGUCUCGCCCAACCCCUUCCGCCGUUCCAUCCAUCCCCCCCGCCUCGAGUUCGCCGCUCGGUACCGAGACAACAAGGGGGGGGGGGGGACCUAAAAAACCCCGGAACGACCCGAAACCGGAGGGGGGGGGGAGGAAAAAGGGGGGGGGAACCGAGGGGGUGCGGGGCAACUUCCGGCCUCCCCGAUGCCGCUGGGCCUGGGCAGGAGGAAGAAGGCCGCGCCGCUGGUGGAGAACGAGGAACCGGCCGGGGAUCGCGGCGGAACAACGGGAGGAACCGGAGGAACCGGGGGGGAACAUGGAGGAGGGGGAGGAACCCACCAGGUUGGGCCGAGCCCCCCUGGGCUGCCCCCCCCGCCCGCUGCGUUAAGGCCCCGGUUGGUGUUUCACACUCAAUUGGCUCAUGGGAGCCCGACGGGACGGAUCGAAGGGUUCAGUAACGUCAGGGAGCUGUA
rnacentral:lncRNA from 1 species